rnacentral:rRNA from 1 species
AUCGGUGCUUAUUGCGAUGAGGUCACACCCGUUCCCAUUCCGAACACGGAAGUUAAGCUCAUCCGCGUCAAUGAUACUUGGCUGGAGACGGCCUGGAAAAGUAGAUCAGUGCCGGUA